rnacentral:rRNA from 1 species
GCUAACUACGUGCCAGCAGCCGCGGUAAUACGUAGGGCGCGAGCGUUAUCCGGAAUUAUUGGGCGUAAAGAGCUUGUAGGCGGUUUGUCACGUCUGCUGUGAAAGCCCGGGGCUUAACUCCGGGUGUGCAGUGGGUACGGGCAGGCUAGAGUGCAGUAGGGGAGACUGGAAUUCCUGGUGUAGCGGUGAAAUGCGCAGAUAUCAGGAGGAACACCGAUGGCGAAGGCAGGUCUCUGGGCUGUUACUGACGCUGAGAAGCGAAAGCAUGGGUAGCGAACAGGAUUAGAUACCCUGGUAGUC